rnacentral:tRNA from 1 species
UCUGGGGAUGUAGCUCAGUGAUAGAGUAUUUGCCUAGUAUGCAUAAGGUCCUGGGUUCAAUCCCCAGUACCAGAU